CCAGAUGCUAGUAUUUCAUUACAGAAAUGGAAAACAAACAAAUUGAGCCUCAGAGAAUUCAGACAACUUAAUCAAAGUCAUUGAUCUCAACCAUAAGAGAGCUCCAGGCAGAACUCAGUUUCCCUCAAGAGAGAUGACGGCCCCAGCACAAUCUGUCUCCUUGACCUCAUGUUUCUGGAACUUUCUUGGGCCACUGCUAACUUGUGCGUCCAUGGAACACUUCUGAACAAAUGGCAGGAGCAGCGUCCUUCAUCCUUGGUUGGAAGUGAUGUUACUGUGAGUCAAGCACAGGGCUCUGGGCUCAGUUCUGUGUUUGGGGCUCGGGGCUCCAGGUUCAGGAAUUAGAGCACAGGCCUCUCUCUGCACUUGAGGCUCAGGGCUCAUGGUGCAUAUUCACAGAGGCCCAUUCCCCUGGACACUGUGCUCGGUUCAGGGACAGACAAAUAGUGCUAUCCACAGUCCUCUGAGGGACUGAAAGAAACUCUGAGGCCAUACAUAUAUACAUACAUACAUAUAAACAUACAUACAUACAAGCAAAAUACAUACAUACAAGCAAACAUACAUACAUACAAACAUAUAUGCAUACAAACAUAUAUACAUACAAACAUAAAUACAUGCAUACAUACAUACAUACAUACAAACAUAUAAAUUUUCCCUUUGCUGUUAGCCUGUGAGAUCCAAGAGAUUGCAUCAGCUGAGGCUCUGGAAGACUCUUUCUCCCCACUGUAACAGAAUGAAGUUACUGUGGGAUGAGAGGAGAAGGAAAAGAAAGCCUGAGUGGCUGACCGGAGACCCCGCAGCCCUUUCCACUCACUGGAAGUCCUAUUUAUAAAGAAAAACAAACAAACACAAAUACUAUUUCUCUGAUGUGUGCCUCCUGCACCAAAAGUGCUCUGGGGGAAACGCACGUGGGUGGGAGGAAGAGGGCUGGACUUGGGUGUGGAGACAGACGGGUGCCAGGCAGCUCACUUCAUCUCCAGCCCUUCUCCGUGUCCUCAUUUAAAGAAGGGCUGUUGCUAAGGUACAUAGCUCAGUGGCAGAGCCGUAGACCAGCAUGCGUAAGGUCUCGGGUUCCACCCCAGUAACUACAGAAAAAUCAAACUAAAACCAAAACUAGGUUAAGUCAACCCCAUAAAGAAGGAAGAUAGUAGCAGUCUGUUCAAUGAAUCACUGGGAGGCCUGGAUAACCCAGGGAAAGUCCUUGGAUGGUCACACAUUCAUUCAUUCAUUCAUUCAUUCAUUCAUGUAUUUCUGUAUCUCCCACCCUUGCCUGGUUCUUCUCCUCCUGGUGCCAGGCACCUGGCUCCACACAGAGUCCAUGCCAUGGCACUUAUCAGUGACACCAGUGAGUCCCCUGCCAGAUCCACAGGGCAAUCACGAACCCUGACGCAACGCCAGCCACUCUUUGAUAUUAAAAAUAAAACUUCAGGGGGCAAAAUGCAGUGCUGAGUUAAUUUGCAGAAUUGUUGUGUUUACCCUCACUUUCUAUAAAGCUUCUCAUUGGGUGAUGCUUAGGGGGCGGGGACCACCAAAUGAUGAAGGCCACUGCCCCCCUCCUCUAACCAUUAACCAGCAGGACACCAGCAAACAAGAUUUAGUGGGGAGUCUCCCCAAAGCCUUACUGUACUUGUGCUAGGAUCCCAGGCAGCAGAGCAGAGCGAGAAGGAGCAGCCAGCGCCCACAGCAGACGCUGGCUUUAAAGAGCCACCUUGUUGGCCAUGUGGUUUUCAGUAGAGAAAGCAAGAUGUGUGUGUGUGACUCUGAGGAUGCACCCCCUAUCCUACAGGGAAGCCCUGCUUCCCCCCAGUUCUGGUGUCCCAUCUCUACGAUGAGGUGCAGGA